ACUCAAAUGAAUUGACGGGGGCCCGCACAAGCGGUGGAGCAUGUGGUUUAAUUCGACGCAACGCGCAGAACCUUACCAGCCCUUGACAUGCCCGUCGGGGGAUUCAGAGAUGAAUCCUUUCAUUUAGUUGGACGGUGCACAGGUGCUGCAUGGCUGUCGUCAGCUCGUGUCGUGAGAUGUUGGGUUAAGUCCCGCAACGAGCGCAACCCUCGCCUCCAGUUGCCAUCAUUAAGUUGGGCACUCUGAAGGGACUGCCGGUGACAAGCCGGAGGAAGGUGGGGAUGACGUCAAGUCCUCAUGGCCCUUACGGGCUGGGCUACACACGUGCUACAAUGGCGGUGACAGUGGGACGCGAAAGCGCAAGCUGGAGCAAAUCCCAAAAAUCCGUCUCAGUUCGGAUUGCACUCUGCAACUCGAGUGCAUGAAGUCGGAAUCGCUAGUAAUCGCGCAACAGCAUGGCGCGGUGAAUACGUUCCCGGGCCUUGUACACACCGCCCGU
rnacentral:rRNA from 1 species